AUGGCAGACCAACACGGCUUCCUAUCUGUAACUGAUAAUAAUAAACUCUCCCAUUUUACCCUCUCCUUGGAGAUUUGCGAGGAGAGCUUCGAGGGUCGUCGUCGUCGUCGUCGUCGUCGUCGUUGUUGUUGUUGUUGUUAUUAUUAUUAUUAUUAUUAUUAUUAUUAUUAUUAUUAUUAUUAUUAUUAUUCUUUAUUUCUUUAUACCCCGCCUAUCUGGGGUAUCUCGAACUCUACUUCGGGGACUUCAGGGCGACCUCCCCGGCGCACCCAACCCUGCCGAGAGACCACCACAACCACCAAGUCCUGCCUGCCUUGCCCCUGGGUGGCGCGCGCGGCGGUGGCGCUGGUGGCUCCCCCGGGUCCUCCCCUUGGGCCGCCCUCUCCCAGCGAGCAGGGGGCAGCGCCACCGAGAUCUGGCUGGAUGCCACAGAGGGACAGCUGUUGGCAGCUCGGGCGAAGGCUUGGUGGUGGGGUGGGGGGCAAGGAGGAGGUAGCUCCCGAAUCACGGAGACAGCGGGUUGGCUGGUUGGAGGGGCGUGGAAAGCGGGCACGCCUCGGCAGAGUUGGCCGCGCCCAGGAGAUCGCUGGGUUCUUCUGGCUCAGAGGAGACCUCUCCUGCUCAGGAGCAGCUGCUGGACUGCUUGGACAAGUGGAAGAGCUUGGUGGUGGACAUCUCGGCAGGGUUGGUGGUGGCCAAGUCUUCAGGAACCCUCCGAGAUAUACUGGUUGGCUCCUUGCGGCCCGGCGCGCACAGCUGGGAGCAGCGGGACCAGUUCUCCUGGACCACUGCUAUCUCUACUGGUGGUUCCUCACCAGUUCCCCACCUCUCCUGAGUCCUGCCCAGCGCCAUGUCGACCUCCUCCGAGGAGGAGUGGAGCCUGGACCCCUUGGCCAGCCCCGAGGACAGCCCGCGGCGGGGCUACCAGCGCGGCCCCAGGGGCAACCUCACCAUGACCACCACCAACCAAGCCUUGGUGCAGCUGGUCUGCCAGAAAAACCUCCACCAGCCCGCCGACACGACCCUCCUCUCCAUCCUGCUGUUCUUCCGCAGGUGGGUGCUGUUAGGGAGGGGGGGGGCGUUAGGUUCCACCCUAGACCAGGGCCACCUGUCCUCCUGGGUGCUGGAGCUGAGAGACGUGGCUUGGGGCUGGAUGACCACCACUGA
rnacentral:lncRNA from 1 species